ACGAUGGGGUUGAUAGGCCAGACCUGGAAGCACUGUAAAGUGUGGAGGCUACUGGUACUAAUAGACCAAAACAAACACACACA
rnacentral:rRNA from 1 species